AACGAACGCUGGCGGCAGGCUUAACACAUGCAAGUCGAGCGCCCCGCAAGGGGAGUGGCAGACGGGUGAGUAACACGUGGGAACGUGCCCUUCGCUUCGGGAUAGCCUCGGGAAACUGGGAGUAAUACCGAAUACGCCGUAUUGGGAAAGAUUUAUCGGCGAAGGAUCGGCCCGCGUUGGAUUAGCUAGUUGGCGGUGUAAUGGACCACCAAGGCUACGAUCCAUAGCUGGUCUGAGAGGACGACCAGCCACACUGGGACUGAGACACGGCCCAGACUCCUACGGGAGGCAGCAGUGGGAAUCUUGGACAAUGGCGCAAGCCUGAUCCAGCCAUGCCGCGUGAGUGAAGAAGGCCUUAGGGUUGUAAAACUCUUUCGCCGGUGAAGAUAAUGACGGUAACCGGAGAAGAAGCCCCGGCUAACUUCGUGCCAGCAGCCGCGGU
rnacentral:rRNA from 1 species